GAGAGGAUGACCAGCCACACUGGAACUGAGACACGGUCCAGACUCCUACGGGAGGCAGCAGUGGGGAAUAUUGCACAAUGGGCGCAAGCCUGAUGCAGCCAUGCCGCGUGUGUGAAGAAGGCCUUCGGGUUGUAAAGCACUUUCAGCGGGGAGGAAGGCGAUACGGUUAAUAACCGUGUUGAUUGACGUUACCCGCAGAAGAAGCACCGGCUAACUCCGUGCCAGCAGCCGCGGUAAUACGGAGGGUGCAAGCGUUAAUCGGAAUUACUGGGCGUAAAGCGCACGCAGGCGGUCUGUCAAGUCGGAUGUGAAAUCCCCGGGCUCAACCUGGGAACUGCAUUCGAAACUGGCAGG
rnacentral:rRNA from 1 species